rnacentral:lncRNA from 1 species
AGACAUGAGGGAGAAGUCGAAAAUGAAAAUUUGUCUAAGAAAAUGGAGAUUAGUGAGGAUAAGGAAGAAGAAGUUGAAAAACAGAGGGAGAUAAAAGAAAAAGAGAGGAAGAAGGUGGAGAAAGGAAAAGGUGUUGAUGAAUCGCCAUAUGCUAGGAUGCCUUAUCCUAGGAAGAAGAAAGUUAAGAAUCUUGAGCGAGAGAAGGAGUUCAAGAAGUUUAUGAAGGUGUUGAACAAGCUUGAGAUGGC